rnacentral:rRNA from 1 species
GAUGAACGCUGGCGGCGUGCCUAAUACAUGCAAGUCGAGCGAACGGACGAGAAGCUUGCUUCUCUGAUGUUAGCGGCGGACGGGUGAGUAACACGUGGAUAACCUACCUAUAAGACUGGGAUAACUUCGGGAAACCGGAGCUAAUACCGGAUAAUAUUUUGAACCGCAUGGUUCAAAAGUGAAAGACGGCCUUGCUGUCACUUAUAGAUGGAUCCGCGCUGCAUUAGCUAGUUGGUAAGGUAACGGCUUACCAAGGCAACGAUGCAUAGCCGACCUGAGAGGGUGAUCGGCCACACUGGAACUGAGACACGGUCCAGACUCCUACGGGAGGCAGCAGUAGGGAAUCUUCCGCAAUGGGCGAAAGCCUGACGGAGCAACGCCGCGUGAGUGAUGAAGGUCUUCGGAUCGUAAAACUCUGUUAUUAGGGAAGAACAUAUGUGUAAGUAACUGUGCACAUCUUGACGGUACCUAAUCAGAAAGCCACGGCUAACUACGUGCCAGCAGCCGCGGUAAUACGUAGGUGGCAAGCGUUAUCCGGAAUUAUUGGGCGUAAAGCGCGCGUAGGCGGUUUUUUAAGUCUGAUGUGAAAGCCCACGGCUCAACCGUGGAGGGUCAUUGGAAACUGGAAAACUUGAGUGCAGAAGAGGAAAGUGGAAUUCCAUGUGUAGCGGUGAAAUGCGCAGAGAUAUGGAGGAACACCAGUGGCGAAGGCGACUUUCAGGUCUGUAACUGACGCUGAUGUGCGAAAGCGUGGGGAUCAAACAGGAUUAGAUACCCUGGUAGUCCACGCCGUAAACGAUGAGUGCUAAGUGUUAGGGGGUUUCCGCCCCUUAGUGCUGCAGCUAACGCAUUAAGCACUCCGCCUGGGGAGUACGACCGCAAGGUUGAAACUCAAAGGAAUUGACGGGGACCCGCACAAGCGGUGGAGCAUGUGGUUUAAUUCGAAGCAACGCGAAGAACCUUACCAAAUCUUGACAUCCUCUGACCCCUCUAGAGAUAGAGUUUUCCCCUUCGGGGGACAGAGUGACAGGUGGUGCAUGGUUGUCGUCAGCUCGUGUCGUGAGAUGUUGGGUUAAGUCCCGCAACGAGCGCAACCCUUAAGCUUAGUUGCCAUCAUUAAGUUGGGCACUCUAAGUUGACUGCCGGUGACAAACCGGAGGAAGGUGGGGAUGACGUCAAAUCAUCAUGCCCCUUAUGAUUUGGGCUACACACGUGCUACAAUGGACAAUACAAAGGGUAGCGAAACCGCGAGGUCAAGCAAAUCCCAUAAAGUCGUUCUCAGUUCGGAUUGUAGUCUGCAACUCGACUAUAUGAAGCUGGAAUCGCUAGUAAUCGUAGAUCAGCAUGCUACGGUGAAUACGUUCCCGGGUCU